CAAAAAAAAAAAAAAAAAUUCUCUGUACGGCUGCUUUUCUCUAGUACAGAACGCAGAUGUCGUUUCAAAGCGAACAAAAGUUCUGCUUACCCAGUCAAACUUCUGCAGAAACUGACCGUUAUUACUACCAAUAACUGUUCUAUGUGAGGUGAACACAGAAGAAAUUCUACAGAAAGCAUGAAUCCUUUGUUGGAGGGCUUCCGAGAGGAAGCUUUGUGGUGAAAGGUGUCUCCUUUUGAGAAGUCUUUUACUCACCAUCAACAAGGAAUGUAUAAAUAAAUGAGUACAUCAGCAGUAAAGUGCCUGUGACACCACUACGGACAAGAUAACACAGAUUGUUUGAAAUGGUUUAACUGUACUUAGUGUUGACCCAUGGAUCCACCAGUGGAGGAGAGUAAUCAAAUUGAAAAAUUUGAGGCAGCACGUGAGGAUACCAAAAAUUAUGUGGGGUGCAGUGAUAGCAUUGCGAAUUUUGAGGUUUUCACCGGUCUACUUUGGACCUCAUGUAAGCAUAUGCCUGAACAAAAGAUGAUUCAACAUUUCCUUACCUGCAAUGCUGAGAGGACAUGGAGUGGAGGCCUCUCAGGCGUUAUACGGGCUCAGAAGCAAAACCUUGAUAGUUGAGAACAGAAGUCUAAUUUGGAGCAAACCAUAACAAAUUUAGCUUGACUAAUGGGUAAUACAAACAUGGAUCAUGAAGAGAAGAAGAAUUUACCUGGAGACUUACCUUGAGGCAUGCCAAAUCUUAGACCUAUUUUUGAAGAUCCAUCUAGACAACUAGUUGUCCAUAUGGAGGGUGCUGGUGGAUACAUUUGAUGGGGGUUAUAGGACUUCAGCAUUCAAAGACAGACUACUACAACAAACACAUUGAUUUUAGCAUCAAGAUAAAAAUCUCGGCAUUUAAUGGAGAUUUGAACACAGAAGGAUUUCUUGAUUGGGUCGCUGAAUGUGAUAGGGCUAAAAAGUACUCAGGUUUCUUGGAAGAGAAGAUAGUGAAAUUGGUCGUAUAUAACUUAAAGGGUGGAGCUUCUUCCUGGUGGAAACGAUAGACAUGUACAUGUUUAAAAGAAGGAAGACAACCUAUUAUGUCAUAGACAUGUAUAAGGCGGUUGUUGCAUGAGAGAUUCUUUCCUCUUGACUAUGAGCGAUAUUUGUUCUAGCGGUAUUGAGAUUGUUCACAAGGUAAUAAAUUUGUCAAUGAGUAUACAAUUGAAUUUCAAAGGCCGACAAAAUGUAACAAGCUCCACCAGAUAGAGAAUCAAUAGGCUGCAAGGUUUAUGAGAGGGUGAAAACCAAUAAUCCAAGUUAAGAUCGGAGUACAAAUGUUGUUUACACUUUUUAAGGCAAGGAAUAUGGUGUUAAAGGCAAGAGUUUUUACUACAUCAAGAAAGUGCCGAUUUUUUCUCUCAGCUACACCGUUUUGCUGUGGUGUUGAAAGACAAGAACGUUGAGAGAUGAUUUCUUUACUUUGAAGAAAGCCUUAAAACUCAUUAGACAUGUAUUCACCGCUAGAAUCAGAGUGCGAGACCUUGAUGCUGGCAGAAAAUUGAGUUCAAGAAGUGCAAGAAAUUGCUUAAAAACUAAAAAAAACUUCAGCCUUAGCUCGGAGGAAGUAAUCCCACAUAAAACGACUAAAUUCACCAUGCCAAGCCAUGAUAGCCAAAUGCUUUAAAUAUGGAGAACCAGGACAUCGUUAUUAAGCAAAGCUCUGGUUUUUACACUUUUAGAUUUUGAUAAACUGUUUGAGGUAGAAUGUGAUGCCUGUGAUGUCAGGAUUGGUGGAGUUUUAUCCUUAGAGUAGAGACCCAUGACAUUUUUUAAUGAGAAGUUGAGUGAUGCUAGAUUAAAGUGGUCCAUAUACAAUAAAGAGUUCUAUGUUGUUUUUGGAA